GCAAACUUGGUCAUUUAGAGGAAGUAAAAGUCGUAACAAGGUUUCCGUAGGUGAACCUGCGGAAGGAUCAUUACAGGGUAAUGCCGGGUUUUAGCAAUAAAACUCUGGCAGCCAUGAUCAUCCCCUUUGUGUACACAUCGAACCUUGCUUUGGCAGAUUUUCGAUUGUGGGAAUCUGCCAGAGGCCUUAAUUAAACUCCUUAGUUUGAUUGCUUUGUCUGAUAAUCUAAAAGUAAUAAAAAUACAACUUUCAACAACGGAUCUCUUGGCUCUCGCAUCGAUGAAGAACGCAGC
rnacentral:misc_RNA from 1 species